GGUUAAAAAUUUCAUCAAUUUGUACGGUUAAAAUUUGAUGUGGUUGACAGAAUAAUCAGACAAUGACAUAACGUGUCACGUAAAUCUCAUGCUGACAUACAAUGACCAAUUUUUAAUAGAAAAUGAAUAAAAUUUUUAAUA
rnacentral:pre_miRNA from 1 species